AUUUAAAUAGCUUAAAUAAAGCGAAGGAUUGUAAAUCCCAAGUUGGCAUUGCCUUUAUGAG
rnacentral:tRNA from 1 species